AAGUCGAACGAGAAAGUCUCUUCGGAGAUGAGUAAAGUGGCGCACGGGUGAGUAACGCGUGGGUAAUCUGCCCUUAGGUUUGGGAUAACCCCGGGAAACCGGAGCUAAUACCGAAUGAGACCACGAUGACUUCGGUCGAUGUGGGAAAAGGUGGCCUCUUCUUGAAAGCUAUCGCCAAAGGAUGAGCCCGCGUUUGAUUAGCUAGUUGGUGAGGUAAUGGCUCACCAAGGCGACGAUCAAUAGCUGGUCUGAGAGGAUGAUCAGCCACACUGGAACUGAGAUACGGUCCAGACUCCUACGGGAGGCAGCAGUCAGGAAUAUUGGGCAAUGGGCGAAAGCCUGACCCAGCAACGCCGCGUGAAGGAUGAAGGCCCUCGGGUCGUAAACUUCUGUCGAGAGGGAAGAAUGCGUACGGGUGAAUAAUCCGUGCGUUUGACGGUACCUCCAAAGGAAGCACCGGCUAACUCCGUGCCAGCAGCCGCGGUAA
rnacentral:rRNA from 1 species